rnacentral:tRNA from 1 species
GGGGCUAUUGGCGGUAGCCCCCGGUCUCAGCGAUACCGAGGUUGACCUGCGAAAACGAUUGAUCGUUGUUGGUUCGAAGAGUCCCCAAACCAAGCUUGAAAACCGCUAUGGGGUCAAACCCAUCGUGGGUUCGAAUCCCACGCCCU